rnacentral:lncRNA from 1 species
UAGGAUUCCAACUCGGUUGUGGUGUAAGAAAAGAUUGAAAAAAAUAAACCGUCCAUUACACAAAAUCACUACAUGCCCUGCAAAGGACACACAAAAACCAAAGGUACGGCGCUUUCAUUGCUGUUCUUCGUCUCAAAUGAGCCUUCAAUAUGGAGCAAAUUAAUGAUCUCUAACUGCAAGUUUAAGACGGCCCAAACAGCGAUUUGCGAGUAGUUAUUUGUC